AUUGAACGCUGGCGGCAGGCUUAACACAUGCAAGUCGAGCGAGCGGCGGACGGGUGAGUAAUGUCUGGGAAACUGCCUGAUGGAGGGGGAUAACUACUGGAAACGGUAGCUAAUACCGCAUACAUUCAGAUGUUCACAGAUGGGAUGAGCUAGUAGGUGGGGUAAUGGCUCACCUAGGCGACGAUCCCUAGCUGGUCGGAGAGGAUGACCAGCCACACUGGAACUGAGACACGGCCCAGACUCCUACGGGAGGCAGCAGUGGGGAAUAUUGCGCAAUGGGGGCAAGCCUGACGCAGCCAUGCCGCGUGAAGGAAGAAGGCCUUCGGGUUGUAAAGUACUUUCGGUAGCGAGGCGUUAACUACAGAAGAAGCACCGGCUAACUCCGUGCCAGCAGCCGCGGUAAUAC
rnacentral:rRNA from 1 species